UCCGUCAUGGUGUAGUGGCUAGCAUCAGCCGCUCUCAUUUGUAGAGCACACAAACCGGCUAGACCCGGGUUCAAUUCCCGGUGACGGAA